CCUACGGGAGGCAGCAGCGGGGAAUCUUGCGCAAUGGGCGAAAGCCUGACGCAGCAACGCCGCGUGCGGGAAGAAGGCCUUCGGGUUGUAAACCGCUUUCAGCAGGAACGAAAAUGACGGUACCUGCAGAAGAAGGAGCGGCCAACUACGUGCCAGCAGCCGCGGUGACACGUAGGCUCCAAGCGUUGUCCGGAUUUAUUGGGCGUAAAGAGCUCGUAGGCGGUUCAGUAAGUCGGGUGUAGAAACUCUGGGCUCAACCCAGAGCCUGCAUUCGAAACUGCUGUGACUAGAGUUUGGUAGGGGAGCGGGGAAUUCCUAGUGUAGCGGUGAAAUGCGCAGAUAUUAGGAGGAACACCGGUGGCGAAAGCGCCGCUCUGGGCCAAUACUGACGCUGAGGAGCGAAAGCGUGGGUAGCAAACAGGAUUAGAUACCCUGGUAGUCCACGCCGUAAACGAUGGGCACUAGGUGUGGGUUUCAACUAACGAAAUCCGUGCCGUCGCUAACGCAUUAAGUGCCCCGCCGUGGGGAGUACGGUCGCAAGACUAAACUCAAAGGAUGACGG
rnacentral:rRNA from 1 species